GAGACAAGCUUCUUAGAGCAUUUCGAGCAAUGAAUGCUGCAGAUGUUGCUGAUCAAGUUCUCCGUCAAGUUGAUAAAUUGAUCAGGAAUAAUGAGCGUGCUGCACGUGAAAAUUUUUCUGGCAAGAAUAACCAGUCGAUUAAUCAUCAAAACUCUUGGGAUAUGUCAAAGAAACGAAUAAUGCCCCAGG